CUUACACAUGCAAGUCUGGGGGAAACCUUGCUUCGGCGAGGCGGAUACCGGCGGACGGGUGAGUAACACGUGGAUAAUCUGCCCCUAUCACAGGGAUAACGUCGGGAAACUGACGCUAAUACCUGAUGAGGCGUUUACGUCAAAGCUUCGGCGGAUAGGGAUGAGUCUGCGUCUAAUUAGCUUGUUGGUGGGGUAACGGCUCACCAAGGCGACGAUUAGUAGCUGGUUUGAGAGGAUGAUCAGCCACACCGGAACUGAGACACGGUCCGGACUCCUACGGGAGGCAGCAGUGAGGAAUUUUGGGCAAUGGGGGCAACCCUGACCCAGCGACGCCGCGUGCAGGAUGACAGCCCUUCGGGUUGUAAACUGCUUUCGGGUAGGAAGAAAAGCCGGGUAUCCCGGCCGGGACAGUACUGCCAGAAGAAGCACCGGCAAACUACGUGCCAGCAGCCGCGGUAAUACGUAGGGUGCGAGCGUUAUCCGGAAUUACUGGGUAUAAAGGGUGCGUAGGCGGGCUUGUGCGUCGAUGGUUAAAGACCGGGGCUUAACUCCGGGAAUGUCAUCGAUACGGCAGGUCUUGAAUGUGAGAGAGGAUGAUGGAAUUCCUGGUGUAGCGGUGAAAUGCGUAGAUAUCAGGAGGAACACCGGUAGCGAAGGCGGUCAUCCGGCUCAUUAUUGACGCUGAGGCACGAAAGCGU
rnacentral:rRNA from 1 species